UUCAACAAUAUGGCUCAACCACCGAAUCUCACGGCCCGAGAAGUGCAGCAGGUAUUUGCAGAGAUUCUCAGCCAUGGCGAGGACAUCGCCUGGGAUCUGUGAGUGCCCGCCCAAAAAUCCUUUGUCCCUCACUUGAAAUCUAUAGAUGGCCAAUCCCUGACCUGACUGAUUGCUGCAGAAUCAACGAGACAUUCUGAAAAGGAAAGUUCGAUAAAUAUUUAAUCAGAGACAUAAAUAAUUCUGGACAACGUUUUGACUCUACGUAAAUGCGCCAACGGCCAGUCCCUUUCUGCGUUGUUCUUUGCGGUUAUUGUGAAUGGAGUGACCGACUUGAAGGAGGCAGAGAAUAGCAGAUCCUGGUCGAUCCACCCAGUUUUCCGCUGCCGUCGCUGCGAUGCCGACACGGAUGGAGGGAUGAGCAGCAGCCCAGACUGUUGCGGUAUGUAUGUGGAUCAAAUCGGGCUCUUUGAGGACUGCGAUGCAUACUUAAAGCGCACAGCUCUUCCCCCAGGGGUUAUGGUAACCUGUGAUCGAGGCGUCUACAAGCUGAUCGAUGGGCAGGUUGAGCUUAAAACUUAUUUGAUAACGGAGAAAAUGUACACACGCAAUGCGUGCUUCAUAACGUCUGAAGGUCUGAAGGCAGCCUUGGAAUUUCCUGGAGUGCAUCGGCUUUACUCGGAAUCAAGCUCUAGAUAUAUAUUGCAAGUAACAUAG